rnacentral:lncRNA from 1 species
UUUCUUUUCUUUCUCCCCCUUUUUCUUUCUUUUCUUUCUCCCCCUUUUUCUUUCUUUUCUUUCUCCCCCUUUUUCUUUCUUUUCUUUCUCCCCCUUUUUCUUUCUUUUCUUUCUCCCCCUUUUUCUUUCUUUUCGAGGCGGGUCUCGGGGGGCAGCCGGUCCCAGAGCAGCCGCAGGGACCCCUCGAUGCCCCCCAGGUCGGUCACCGCCGUCUUGAAGAACCCGGGUUCCACGAUGCUCACGGACACCCCGAAAUGGUACAUGUCGCGUCUGCGGGCUGUCGGAGAAGGCCUCCACGCAGUACUUGGAGAUGCAGUAGCCGCCGCCGUUGGCCGAGAGGCGGCCCAGGACGCUGGAGGUGUUGACCACCCGGCCCCGCGCCCGCUUCAGCAGCGGCAGGAACUGCAGCGUCACCUCGAUGGCCCCGAAGGCGUUGACGGCCAUCACCCGGCGGUAGUCCUCCAGCCCCAUCCACUCCGUGGGGCCGAUGGGGUUGGCCACCCCCGCGUUGUUCACCAGCCCAAAGAGACCUUGAGGGGGUGGUCAGGAUGGUGGCCACCAUCCCCUCUGGGGUGUCCCUGCCCCAUGGUGCCUCCCCCAGCACUCCCUGGUGGGACCUUCCUCUCCAUCCUGCCCCACAGCACCUCGUAGGCCCUCUCCAGGGACCCCCAUCUGCCCCACAGCACCUUGUAGGCCCUCCCGGCCCCUCUCCAGGGACCCCCAUCUGCCCCACAGCACCUUGUAGGCCUUCCCAGCCCCUCUCCAGGGACCCCCAUCUGCCCCACAGCACCUUGUAGGCCCUCCCGGCCCCUCUCCAGGGACCCCCAUCUGCCCCACAGCACCUUGUAGGCCCUCCCAGCCCCUCUCCAGGGACCCCCAUCUGCCCCACAGCACCUUGUAGGCCCUCCCAGCCCCUCUCCGGGGACCCCCAUCUGCCCCACAGCACCUUGUAGGCCCUCCCAGCCCCUCUCCAGGGACCCCCAUCUGCCCCACAGCACCUUGUAGGCCCUCCCAGCCCCUCUCCGGGGACCCCCAUCUGCCCCACAGCACCUUGUAGGCCCUCCCAGCCCCUCUCCAGGGACCCCCACCUGCCCCACAGCACCUUGUAGGCCCUCCCAGCCCCUCUCCGGGGACCCCCAUCUGCCCCACAGCACCUUGUAGGCCCUCCCAGCCCCUCUCCAGGGACCCCCACCUGCCCCACAGCACCUUGUAGGCCCUCCCAGCCCCUCUCCAGGGACCCCCAUCUGCCCCACAGCACCUUGUAGGCCCUCCCAGCCCCUCUCCGGGGACCCCCAUCUGCCCCACAGCACCUUGUAGGCCCUCCCAGCCCCUCUCCAGGGACCCCCACCUGCCCCACAGCACCUUGUAGGCCCUCCCAGCCCCUCUCCGGGGACCCCCAUCUGCCCCACAGCACCUUGUAGGCCCUCCCAGCCCCUCUCCAGGGACCCCCACCUGCCCCACAGCACCUUGUAGGCCCUCCCAGCCUCUCUCCGGGGACCCCCAUCUGCCCCACAGCACCUUGUAGGCCCUCCCAGCCCCUCUCCAGGGACCCCCACCUGCCCCACAGCACCUCGUAGGCCCUCCCAGCCUCUCUCCGGGGACCCCCAUCUGCCCCACAGCACCUCGUAGGCCCUCCCAGCCCCUCUCCAGG